GAUGAACGCUGGCGGCGUGCCUAAUACAUGCAAGUCGAGCGAACAGAUGAGGAGCUUGCUCCUCUGACGUUAGCGGCGGACGGGUGAGUAACACGUGGAUAACCUACCUAUAAGACUGGGAUAACUUCGGGAAACCGGAGCUAAUACCGGAUAAUAUAUUGAACCGCAUGGUUCAAUAGUGAAAGACGGUUUUGCUGUCACUUAUAGAUGGAUCCGCGCCGCAUUAGCUAGUUGGUAAGGUAACGGCUUACCAAGGCAACGAUGCGUAGCCGACCUGAGAGGGUGAUCGGCCACACUGGAACUGAGACACGGUCCAGACUCCUACAGGAGGCAGCAGUAGGGAAUCUUCCGCAAUGGGCGAAAGCCUGACGGAGCAACGCCGCGUGAGUGAUGAAGGUCUUCGGAUCGUAAAACUCUGUUAUUAGGGAAGAACAAAUGUGUAAGUAACUAUGCACGUCUUGACGGUACCUAAUCAGAAAGCCACGGCUAACUACGU
rnacentral:rRNA from 1 species